UACGUAGGGUGCGAGCGUUGUCCGGAUUUAUUGGGCGUAAAGCGCGUGUAGGUGGCCAAGUAGGUCCGCUGUGAAAACUUGAGGCUCAACCUCAAGCUGUCGGUGGAAACCCCUUGGCUAGAGUCCGGAAGAGGAGAGUGGAAUUCCUGGUGUAGCGGUGAAAUGCGCAGAUAUCAGGAAGAACACCAAUGGCGAAGGCAGCUCUCUGGGACGGUACUGACACUGAGACGCGAAAGCGUGGGGAGCGAACAGG
rnacentral:rRNA from 1 species